GCCACUGCCGCCCCCAAUGUCUCGGUCGUGGGUUCGUUAUGCCAGUUGUGCGUCAUUCUAAGCCGUUCUGUACAUUUAUACUGGAUAUUAACUGGAGUCAUUUAGCUGUGCUGAUGCUGUUUGCCGUGUGUUUUACAUCAGUGCUUCGUGACAUCGGCUGUAUUGCCUGUUUUCGCCGACGGCUUACUACCACAAUGGCGGGAUCUGCGUUCGCCGCCUUCGUGUCUCGGUGUGUCUUUGUACGUACGUCGCACGUUCGGAUAACACUUUUUCCGACGGCUGGACAUCCUUGUACCUUGGCGCUAGCUGGAUGACGGGACCUCAUCAUGAUCAGUGUAUUCCUUGCCUAUGUCUACAAGAACCGUCACGUGUGGCCUGUGACAGCAAGCUUUUGUGGGCAGCAAGUGCUCUCCUACAAAGGCUGGCCUGCUCCGGCAGCGGCGGCAAUCAUCUUCAAGAUUUAUCCAUGAUCACCUUUGCUGCUAUUUGUCACUCUUGUUAAUUACUUUCUGCAUCUUUUCUCAU